GGUAAGAUGGUCGAGAAUAUAGGCGAUAGACUGUAAAUCUAUAAAGGAGGAAAGAUUCCUCUCUUAUCA
rnacentral:tRNA from 1 species